rnacentral:lncRNA from 1 species
GAUCCAAUGCCCUCUUCCCGUGUGUUGACGACAGCCACAGUGUACUCAUAUAUAUAUAAUAAGUAAUUUUUUAAAAAAAAGUAUAUAAAGAAAAUAUCUAAUUAAAAAAAAAAACAAAAAAAAAAAAAAAAAAAACAAGCAGUGACACCUCCGGCAUCAUUGGUGGCCCAGUUCAGUCCUGUAUUGUAACAGGACUCAGGUCAUCUGGUGGAGGGUAUGCUUGUUCUGUCAAAUUGGAAAUCUCAAAUUUGGCAGCUUGUCUGUGUUUCUUCUUGAUUUUAUAAAAGGCCUGGACAUGAAAUUUAGGGUUUGGCAUGUGCUAGGCAAAUACUUUGUUGUUAAGCUAUACAUGCCUAGCCCUCCUUUACUGAAAGCAUUUUAUUGUGUGUGUGUGUUUUGUUUGCAUGUAUGCCCAUUUGCCAUGUGUAUGCAGUGUCCUGGAGUCCAGAAGGUGUCAGAUCCCCUGGGCCUGGGGUUACAUAUGGUUGUGAGCUGCUAUGUUUGUUCUAAGCAUCUAAUCUAGGACCCUGGAGCAGCAACCAUUGAUCUUAAUCACUGAGCCAUUUCCAGCCCUGAAACUGUUUGUUUGUUUGUUUUAAAGGUAGGGUCUCAUGAUCUCAGGCUGAUCUUCCUGUCUUCACCUCCCAAGUACAGGGAUUAUAGGCGCGUGCAACUAUGUAUAAUGUACUGAGGAUUGAAUGUAGAGUGUCAUGUGUGAUAGACACGUGUUCUGCCAACUGAGCUAUUAUGCCCCCAGUACUGAUUUGUUUAAAAAAGCUUUUUAUUUUCUUCUAUGACCUCUAUUUUACUGCUGACCAGCAGUUUAGAUUUAUCCUUUUAAUUCUUUUGCUCAGAUAUAUUUAGGAGUAAGUAUACUGUGGUAAUCAGGUAAAAUCAAAAAGAUGUUUAAUAAUACAUACUGCUAUGUGAAUAGUGAGGUAACAAUUUAUGAAUAGUCCUGAAGAUAAUUAUCUCUAAAAGUUGUAUAUCUUGCUUACAUUGAGAUUAUAUUUUCUAUAAUAAAAUUAAUUUUAAUAGGUAAGUAGUUGUUUUUUAAAUGAAGUGUACCUUCUGAAAAUAUAGUCUUGAUUUUUGGGGUGUGUUCUUUUGAAAGUGCUUAGGCUGUGGGAGUAGUGAGGCUCAGGGAGGAUGGAGAUUCCUUCAGGCGACAGUGCACAGAUACUCUGUUGCCUUCAGGUCAUGAAAGAUAACUUUUAGUGGUGGUUUUUGAGUCAGUCUUAGCAGUGGUGAUACUGGAAUCAAAAUCAAGCCUGUGCCAUGGGUGGCCCCAGGAAGCUAGGUUCAGCCAUUCCUCUUUGGUAAGCCAGUCAAAAGAGCCAAAUUAAUAGCAAAAAGCAGAGAGGGGGGACAUUUAUUCAGUGUGUCACAUUGGGAAGAAGGGCAAAGAGAGCGAGCAACACCCUGAGUCCCUCUUUAGUACUCUGACAUGAGGUUGAGGUCUAAGUAGAGGGCCGGCCAGAGUUCUCUAUGCAACCAAUCAGUCUCUGUCAAGGUGAAUUCUUGCCUAUUAUUAUCUGCCUUCAGUCUCAUCCUACAAGGUGGUCUGAGAAAUUGCUAGAACUGUGCUGGCACCAGGCUUCAGUGCUUUUCUUUUCCGAGCAUGAGAUUCCUGGAGGAUCUUUCAAUUCCCUGGGUUCUGAUGUUCCCAGUAGUGGCAUAGCUAAAGGGGAAACUAAAGUUUCUCUUUGAAGCAUUCUCAUUUCUGGACCAGGAAGUUGGUUCUGUAGGUAAAGACUUGUCCAUCAAACUUGACAACUUGAGUUAAUUUUCUAGAAUGUGCAUGGUAGAGAGGACUAACUCCUCUCCUGCAAGGUGUCCUCUGACCUCCAUCUGGUGUGUGCAUGAACACACACGGUUAAUGUAAAAAGAAAACUGGAUGUAGUAAUGUCUCAUGCCUUUCAUCUCAGUUCUUAGGAGUCUGGAUGUAUCUCUCUGAGUUGGAAAACAGCCUGAUCUACAUAGCAGGUUUCAGGACAUCACGAGAUACAUAGUGAUAAAAAACAAAGCUAAAUCAAAACAGCACCAACAAAAAAGCUUUAGAAAAAUUUCUCUUUCAUUUUAGGCAUUAUGGUUACACUGAUGAAUAGAUGUAUAAUCAGAGUCUAGCAAGUUUCCCUCCUACCCUUUUUGAUGAGGUCUUAACCCUGUAGCUUAGGCUGGCCUGGAGCUCUCCAUGUAGAUUAGCAGUCUUACCUUGGCCCCUUAGAGGCCUGUCACCAUGACGGGCUUCAAGAGCCAACAUGACCCCUGAGUGCCCAGCUUGGGGAUUUAAUAUGGAGUGUGUAUGCUAGGUGAGCUCUCUAUCCAUAGCUAUUAUCUCUAGCUUCAGAACCUACUUGUCAGGUCUCUGAAGACUUACUUCAAUAAGCUUAAAAUGUUGGUAACCUUUUUAUUAUGUUUCUAGAGUUCAGCAUUCAAAAUACAGGCUUUCAGAUGCUUUAAAUAUAUAUAUGGGUGUUUUGCCUGCAUGUAUGUGUACCAUGUGAUGCAGUGCCUUGGAAGGCCAGAAGAGGGCAUCAGAACUCCUGGGGCUGAAUGGUGUUCCUGGGAGUAUUGGGACUCAAACCUGGGUCCUCUGCCAGAGAAGCCAGUGCUCUUCACCAUCCAGCCAUACGAGGGGACAUUAGACCUAGAUCCAGGAAAGGAUCAUAGAAAUUAUUUCAUUGGAGGGGUACUCUGCAUAGUGAGUCAUUUGGUUUUAGAAUUUGAAAGAGAGACUUUUGUUGCUAAGAGAGGGUCUCAUGUAUUCUAGGCUUGCCUACAACUCAUGAUUUUCCAGUUUCUACCUUUCAGGUGCUUGCUGAGAUUAUAGGAAUGGGCCACAAAGCCAGGAGGGGCUAAUUUUACUGGGUGGAACACAACCUUCUCCUGUCUGAUAGGGUAGGGGGCUGGGAUUUGAUUAGCAUUUAAGUCUCUUCAGUCCCCUAAAAAUAGGAAUCAUAUGAGAUUCCUAUUUUUUUUUCUUUGGAAGAGGAAGUCCACUCAUCAGAGCGACCAUGGUGGCAUUGGCUACUUCACUUGCGUGAGUCACAUGUUCAGCUGUGUAUCGAGGCUGCUAUUGGCCUCUUCAGGACCUGGAGUCUUCAUAGCAAGCCGCUGCUUACUAGCUUUGCUUUCUUGUAGAACUUACAAUACAACAUGCUUUUUAUUAAUGUGGUUUUCCUUCUCUUUUUGCAGUGAUUAUUUAUUCAAGUUACUUCUGAUUGGCGAUUCUGGGGUUGGAAAGUCCUGCCUUCUCCUUAGGUUUGCAGUAAGUUGAAAUUAAAAUACUUUUUACAAAUAAUGGUGUGCUUAGCUAUACAAAUAAUGCAGUGUUUUUUGUUUGUUUUGUUUUAGUUAGACAAAAAAAAUCAAACAAUUUUAUAUAGUUAAUUCUUUCAGAGUUUAUAUAUCAAAGUGCCUAAGUGCUCCCAAAUAAUGCACCCCACCCCCAGUGGUAUCUUGGACUGUUAAAUGUUGUUUUUAAAAGAAAUUCAAGGGAAAGCUGGGUGUGGUAGUGCAUGCCUGUAAUCUUUCCACUUGGGAGGUGAAGGAGGGACAUCACUUUGGGCUUGAAGUCAGUU